CACAACUACUAUAGGUACCUCUGCUAUUGGCAUCAGUAUUGGCUCUAUUAUGUUCACAGAUUACUCACUAACAAUAUGUAUAUCCCUAUACAUAGAGCUAUCUCCUGACAUCUACAAUAAAACACAAUAUCCUCAUUUGUACAUAACAUCAAAAUAUUAUAAUCACGUAUCACAUUUAAUUUGUUCAAGGUUAAUAUCCUCUUUUAAUUCUUCAUAUAAUCAAUUUCCUCAAUUCAUCACUUAGGAACUCGACUUGAGUUUAUUUACUUCUAACUUCUCCCACUUUUCUUAAGGUUAUAGCCUAAGGCUCUCCCCCUUAUGUUUUAUAACCUACAGCUAUGAUACUAACCCGUGAUGCCCCCAAAUUUGGGUAUCUUCCAACCCGAUAGAUGGUGUUACACGGUGUUACUAACUACACAUACAUUCGAGUGAAAGACAUCAUUGACAUGCACAUGUUUGCUAAUUAUUACAAAAUAAUAUAUCCCUUCCCAAGUUCUUUAUUAACCAUUACAUUAGUUUGUUUGUUGUAGUACUAAAUCACGUCAAAAGUAAUACUAUUCUAUUACAGGAUAUCUACUUA
rnacentral:lncRNA from 1 species